UACGUAGGGUGCGAGCGUUGUCCGGAAUUACUGGGCGUAAAGAGCUCGUAGGUGGUUUGUCGCGUUGUUCGUGAAAACCGGGGGCUUAACCCUCGGCGUGCGGGCGAUACGGGCAGACUUGAGUACUGCAGGGGAGACUGGAAUUCCUGGUGUAGCGGUGGAAUGCGCAGAUAUCAGGAGGAACACCGGUGGCGAAGGCGGGUCUCUGGGCAGUAACUGACGCUGAGGAGCGAAAGCGUGGGGAGCAAACGGG
rnacentral:rRNA from 1 species